rnacentral:rRNA from 1 species
AUACGUAUGGGGCAAGCGUUAUCCGGAUUCAUUGGGCGUAAAGCGCGCGUAGGCGGCUUGUUAAGCGAGGAGUGAAAUCUGGGGGCUCAACCCGCAGCUUGCUUCUCGAACUGGCAGGCUUGAGUCUGGUAGAGGAAAGUGGAAUUCCUGGUGUAGCGGUGAAAUGCGCAGAUAUCAGGAGGAACACCAGUGGCGAAGGCGGCUUUCUGGGCCACGACUGACGCUGAGGCGCGAAAGCUAGGGGAGCGAACAGGAUUAGAUACCCUGGUAGUCCUAGCCGUAAACGAUGGGCACUAGGUGUGGGGGGUCAUCGACUCCCUCCGUGCCGAAGCUAACGCAUUAAGUGCCCCGCCUGGGGAGUACGGCCGCAAGGCUAAA